rnacentral:lncRNA from 10 species
AGCUAGCACUUGUCUCCUUUCCCUACUAAAGACUGUCGACUGCCCUUAUCGCUGCAGGAGAAAGCCCGAACCUGGCGCCCGGAAGUGAUGUCAUCGGAACUGUGCAAGGUCCCGUCCAGAGCUGGCUGCUGUUCCGCUAGCGAGCGGCAUGCUUAGUGAAGAAAAGCUUAAAGGCCGUCUUUGCCCAAAACGCUCUCUGUGCGCACCUGCAUUUCCCCCAGAUUUGCAGGUGAUGAGAGUUCUGUAAAAUUACACAGCUAGUGACUGAUCCAGCGGAGGCCGAAUACAGAUGGAGUCUCACUCUGUUGCCAGGCUGGAGUGCAGUGGUGCCAUCUCAGCUCACUACAACCUCCACCUCCGGGGUUCAAGCGAUUCUCCUGCCUCAGCCUUCCGAGUAGCUGGGACUACAGGCUUGAAAUUGGUUUAUCAGGUCUGGAAGUGACUGGACUCUGGAGUACUGAGUUACCCACCACAAACUGCUAAUAAAAUGCUGUGUAAAAGCCAUUAA